rnacentral:rRNA from 1 species
CCUACGGGAGGCUGCAGUCGAGAAUCUUUCACAAUGGGGGCAACCCUGAUGGUGCGACGCCGCGUGGAGGAAUGAAGCCCUUCGGAUUGUAAACCUCUGUUAUGUAGGAGUAAAUUAAGACGCUCGUACCACUUUGUGUGUACUCUGCUAAUUCUGUGCCAGCAGCCGCGUUAAUACAGAGGUCUCAAGCGUUGUUCGGAAUCACUGGGCGUAAAGCGUGCGUAGACGGUUGCGUAAGUCGUGUGUGAAAGGCGCGGGCUCAAACGGAGGAGUGCAAUUGAUACUACGAGACUAGAGUAAUGGAGGGGUAAGCGGAAUUCGUGGUGUAGCGGUGAAAUGCGUAGAUAUCGAGAAGAACUCCGGUGGCGAAGGCAGGUUACUAGACAGCAACUGACGUUGAGGCACGAAGGCGAGGGGAGCGAAAGGGAUUAGAUACCCUAGUAGUC